rnacentral:lncRNA from 1 species
UCAAGGGUGAACCAACAAUAAGAGAUACCAAAGGUGAAAUGAAAUGGUAGAAGAAUACAAAAUAUUAGAUACACAAAUAUAUAGAAAACUGACCUACUACAAUGCUUCAAGGGUGAACCAACAAUAAGAGAUACCAAAGGUGAAAUGAAAUGAAAUGGUAGAAGAAUACGAACCAAGAAGAUAAAAAAUUAUAUUACAACCUAAUAUAGACAACCCAUAUGCCAUUUUCAACAAUUAUACUACAACCUGGUAAAGACAUUCCAUAUGCUCUUUGUUAAAAUAAUAAUUACUUUUAGUAGAAAAUUCUACAAACAAAAUAUUAGUUAUACAAAUAUAUAGAAAACUAACCUACAGUAAUGCUUCAAGGGUGAACCAACAAUAAGAGACAUCAAGAGUGAAAUGAAAUAAAAUGGAAGAAGAAUACAAACCAAGAUGAUAAAAAAUUGGUGGAAGAUAAGAAAUGUGAUGAAAUGAGGUAGUAAAAAGUAGAAAGAUAUUCUAUGCUUUAGAAUAAAAUAUGAGAGAAAGAUAUGGAAGAAUAGAAAAAAGUGAUAGAAAGAUAAUGAACUAUUAUAUUAAAUUGAAACAAAUAGUAAAGACAAUUUUUCAUAUUAUGUGUGAGGUGAGGUUGCACAAUAAGAGGUAGAGAACUUUUUAGAAGAAAAUUUUACAUAAGGUAUUGACAUGUGUCACUUGCUAAUGUAGCAAGAGUUGGUAUUGACAUGUAUCCAUUGCUAAUGUGACAAGAAUUUUUUUGUUAGAUAGUAAAUAGAUUUGUUUAGAUUUUAGGAACAUUUUUUUGUAUAUAAAUAAUGCAGUAUUGAGGAAUAAAACAUCUAAAAUUUAAAAAUCUGUUUAGAUAUCACAUUCAAAUUUGAUUUUUGGAUAAUAACAACCUAAUCAAUAUAAACAAAUUUAUUUACAUAUCACCUCCAAAUAUAAUUUUAGGAUAAUAAUAACCUAAUUAAUCUAAAUAACAAUCUAAUCAAAUUUAUUUAAAUUCAUUUGGUUUAUUAUCACAGAAUUAAUAAUGAACACAUGUUCUUACUGCAAUUUCUUUUUAGUAACUCAUUAUGCAGUUACAAAGUCUGCAAGUGUUGGAAUUUUAUAACAAUCCUCUAAUUAUGCACAAUUCUUAAACCAUUCAAAAGGUCAUCCUAUUUUAGUAAUUAUGCAAAUAAUAUAGUUUAUUAUUAGUUUAUAUCCAAAAAACAAUAUAUAUGUUUUACGAAAAAAUCUGCAUCAAGGUUCUCAUUAUCUGAUACCUUUAUUAAAGCAUGGGAAAUCACUAAAUUUAUGCUGAUAAAAAAUAAGGAAAAUGGGUCCAUUAAAGCAUUUGCAUAUUAAUCUUAUAUAGAGGAAAAAAGGAACGGGUAAACAACAUGAAUCCAUCCAUGUGAAAGGGUAAACAACAUGAAUCCAUCCAUAUGAAUUAUAUCUCAGUGUCCUUCAUUGUCCUUUUUCCAUCCACAAUAAAACUACACAAAUAAUGUUAUAUCCUAUUACUAAUUUUUCAUACAAAUUAUUAUACCUACAAAAUAGUGAGAUUUGUCACUUGUAAACUAAUCAUUAAUAUUUUAAUAUGUAGAGUAUUACUUUAUGACAUAUGUUAGUUUCUUGUAUGUAAG